rnacentral:lncRNA from 1 species
GAUGAUUUUAUCUGCCUGAGCAAUGCGCACACUGAGCCGCCGCCGCCUAUCUCCUAGCCUGCUCAUGGGUUGGUCUUAAAGUAAAUAAAACACAGUCUGCUUGCGGCUACUAUUGUGCUCGAUAUCCUUAGGGUAUGAAGAGUAUGAUGAACUUUGCUCGGGCUUACCGAUGGAACUGUGCCAAAAGCGGCUGAGAAGUAAUGUAAUUUUUUCAGCGUAAUUUUUUCAUUAACCUCUUGUAAAUUUUGAAUUUUGUUUUGAAUCAAAAUCAAUUAAUAGCCAUCAAAUUAGUCGAAUCCAGAGCUUAAAUCGCCGCUUCCUAAGGCCGUUGUGAUGCCAUAGAUACUCGUAAAUUGUCGCUUCAUGUACAGUUAGCCGUUACAAAUGUAUUAGCCAGAGGUUGGCUUGGCCAAAAAAAAGCACACACACACACAGCUACACAAAACAAGGCUUGGUGCGAGUGCAACUUGUUUUAUGGGGCGCGUG